GAUGAACGCUGGCGGCGUGCCUAAUACAUGCAAGUCGAGCGAACAGACGAGGAGCUUGCUCCUCUGACGUUAGCGGCGGACGGGUGAGUAACACGUGGAUAACCUACCUAUAAGACUGGGAUAACUUCGGGAAACCGGAGCUAAUACCGGAUAAUAUAUUGAACCGCAUGGUUCAAUAGUUACAGACGGUUUUGCUGUCACUUAUAGAUGGAUCCGCGCCGCAUUAGCUAGUUCGUAAGGUAACGGCAUACCAAGGCAACGAUGCGUAGCCGACCUGAUCGGGUGAUCGCCCACCAUGGAACUGAGACAGGGUCCAGACUCCUACGGGAGGCAGCAGUAGGGAAUCUUCCGCAAUGGUCGAAAGCCUGACGGAGCAGCGCCGCGUGAGUGAUGAAGGUCUUCGGAGCGUAAAACUCUGUUAUUCGGGAAGAACAAAUGUGUAAGUAACUAUGCACGUCUUGACGGUACCUAAUCAGAAAGCCACGGCUAACUACGUG
rnacentral:rRNA from 1 species